rnacentral:pre_miRNA from 1 species
UUAGUUCUUAGUCACUCUGACUUACUGCCUACUUGUUAAUAUAGUCAGUGAGCUAAGAACCUAGA